GCCAAGAUGGAGCAGGGACGGGCCGCGCGCGCUGGAGCACAACAGCGAGGCCGCGCGCCAUGGUUCAGCGACUAUGUUCAGCGAGUACCUUUCAAAUUAGAUCAGCUCGCUGCUAUUGGGAUGAGUAAAAUGAAUCCUCCGAGGUAAUUAGAUGUUUCUUACAUGUGAACGAUGCAAACAUAUGGUUUCAGGUCUGUGCAAAUCUAACACGGAACUCUGGUUAUGGUUGAAACAUUCUUAAUGUUCAUGUUGGUGCCACAGUCCAGCACUAUUAUUAGUGCAUACGGGUUAGUAUUAUGAACCACAUGCAAUUUUUUUUGUCUUGGAUUCAAUUAGGGACCUGCAGUUUUUAUAGCUUGGGUUGUGUAGAUCAGAGAAGAAAUGCAUUGGUCGAUGAACCACAAUGUUGGUGAAGUGAGGUCUGAGGAGAUGAUUCAAGUGAGGAAGUACAAAGUUCAAACCAUGCUAUAAAACUUUGUGCAUCAUCUAUGGUUCUUUUAUAUGCUUGCAUGCUCUCAUUUGUAUGGUUUUGCAAUCUUUGUUGAAACACUACUGGAAAAUGAAUUUCUACUUUACCUUUUGCCAACCAAUUUUUUUAUGUGAUUGGUCAUGUGAACUCUCAAUAUGUGUAUUAUCUCAUAUGUUUUUUCACUUGUAAAUUGCAGUCGUAAGCAAGGCUUGUCAAAUUGUACUGUAAGAUUGAUGGACACAUGAAUAAAACCUGUGCAAGUUUGAUCCAUUUUUGUGCUCACUUGUACUAAAUCUGACCAUGUGGAUGCUCUGACAUGGAUCCCGGGGAACAUUAUCUCAGGGGGAGCUUUAUGAGAAAGUACAAGGAGUGACGAUGGGGGAAUAGCAGACUUCAAUCUGACCAUCGGUACAUGAUCUGAGGGCCACCAGUGGACAUUUGCAGAUUUUCAGAACUUGUACGUUUGCACCUGAUACGCCCCCCCUAUAUAACAUCAAAUCAGUUCAACA